rnacentral:lncRNA from 1 species
AUUGCCUCUCUUGGAGAUGGGUGGAUGAACUAGUACAAUGUUCUUGAGGGCCUCUGGAAGCUUGGUGGCUUUGCGCGGAGCUAGUGCGUGACCGAAUGAAUCGGAUCCCCAUUCUAUGGAGCAACCUAUCCUCUAUAUAUAGUGGCGGCCCGGGUCCUCUUCCCUUAUUGUUUCAGCGGGAAGGGAUCCCGAAGUGGCCAAUUUUGAAGGGGAACAGGGGAACAUGCUCCCCUGCCCAAAGGUGGUCUUCACCGGCAAAGGAGCUACCAACGCUGUAGGGACGGGCCCAAGGUUGAUGUCUGCCCUACUGGCGAGCAGCGACGGCAUGUUGCACUUUUGGGAGAUGGCCUC